AAAUGACAAAAUUGCAUAUUCCACUUCCGGAUGUCUGCUAUCAGCUGAUACUCAUUGAUACAUGGCUGAUAUAUUUGAAGUUUUUCUGACAUUUUUUAUUAUCGUUGUUGCUUUAGUUGCGGUUAUUCUUUUCAUAGCCUGUGGAUGGUACCUAGUGUGGAAAUUGUUUUUGUCCAAGUUUAAGUUUGUUCAAGAACUACUGGGGAAAAAUGAAAGUGAACGUGCAGAGGUUUCACCAAAGAAGCCGAGAACAAAACUCAGGAAAGACUAGAAAACUUGAUUAAAAUGAAAUCUGUUUAAGAACCACGUUGAAGAGACCCUGGAAAUAGGAUCUGACAAAGGCAACAGUAGGAUGGUGCUAGUGAUUAAAAAAAUUCAAAAGUCUGAUGGGGACCAUUCGUGUUGGAGGACCAUAUAUUUUAUGUCAUUAGUUUGUAAUUCAGGAUUACAUUAGAAAUUUGGAUAUGCUUGCCAGAAGGGCCUGAAUAAGGUUGUGAUGCUGUUGCUGUACAUUUUAUAAUCUAAAAUCAUUAUUAUGAUUGUCAUAAAGAUACAGAUGUAUGUUUUGUUAAUUUUGGACACUAUAACUGGCUCAAACAGUUUUUAGAACCAUGUAUAUCUUCUUUGUUUUUAUAAUAAUAAAAGAUGAAGAAGAUGCCGACAAUGGUUUAUUGUUUGUAAAAUACAAAAUAUUACAAAAACAAUGUAUAUACAA